GAUGAACGCUAGCUACAGGCUUAACACAUGCAAGUCGAGGGGCAGCAUGACGAUAGCUUGCUAUUGUUGAUGGCGACCGGCGCACGGGUGAGUAACGCGUAUCCAACCUUCCCGUUGCUAGGGGAUAACCUUGCGAAAGUAAGACUAAUACCCAAUGACGUCUCUAGAAGACAUCUGAAAGGGAUUAAAGAUUUAUCGCUGAAAGAUGGGCUCACGUCUGAUUAGUUAGUUGGUGAGGUAACGGCUCACCAAGACUGCGAUCAGUAGCCGGACUGAGAGGUUGAACGGCCACAUUGGGACUGAGAUACGGCCCAGACUCCUACGGGAGGCAGCAGUGAGGAAUAUUGGUCAAUGGGCGCAGGCCUGAACCAGCCAAGUCGCGUGAGGGAAGACGGUCCUACGGAUUGUAAACCUCUUUUGUCGGGGAGUAACGUGCGGGACGCGUCCGUAUUGAGAGUACCCGAAGAAAAGCAUACGGCUAACUCCGUAGCCAGCAGCCG
rnacentral:rRNA from 1 species